rnacentral:rRNA from 1 species
UACGUAGGCAGCGAGCGUUGUUCGGAAUUACUGGGCGUAAAGAGUGUGUAGGCGGUGCUCUAAGUUCGGUGUGAAAUCUCCCGGCUCAACUGGGAGGGUGCGCCGAAAACUGGAGUGCUUGAGCGUGGGAGAGGAAAGCGGAAUUCCUGGUGUAGCGGUGAAAUGCGUAGAUAUCAGGAGGAACACCUGCGGUGUAGACGGCUUUCUGGACCACAAGCUGACGCUGAGACACGAAAGCGUGGGUAGCAAACAGG